rnacentral:rRNA from 1 species
AGCAUGUGUGUUAGUGGAAGGGUCUGGAAAGGCGCGCGAUACAGGGUGACAGCCCCGUACACAAAAGCGCAUGUGCUGUGAGCUCGAUGAGUAGGGCGGGACACGUGGUAUCCUGUCUGAAUAUGGGGGGACCAUCCUCCAAGGCUAAAUACUCCUGACUGACCGAUAGUGAACCAGUACCGUGAGGGAAAGGCGAAAAGAACCCCGGCGAGGGGAGUGAAAAAGAACCUGAAACCGUGUACGUACAAGCAGUGGGAGCCCCACCAC